GCCUCUUUAGCUCAGUGGUAGAGCGCUGGUCUUGUAAACCAGCGGUCGAGAGUUCAAUCCUCUCAGGAGGCA
rfam:Daphnia pulex DAPPTscaffold_75_Cont3783, whole genome shotgun sequence.